CCGGACGGACGGGUCUUCCUUGUGGACAUUCGUCUGAGGCUGGGGAGCGGCAUGGCCUUUGGACUCACACCGUCUCCGCUCGGCCGCUUGUUGGUUGUUGACUUUGGGCAAAUAACUUAACAUCUCUAAAGUCUGUUCCUACCCCUGGAGGGGGGCCGAAGCUGGCCGUGCCCGAGAAGCCGUUUCAUUUCGCAGACAUGGUCUGUACGCGGCAGGAUUUAAUCAAUGCCGUACUGCAGCCACCUCUUGACUCACUUCUUUGUGGCAGGAAAGUUGCCCAAUUAACGAUGAACUCAGUGACUAAGGAUGGGCUGGUGUACACACAGGCUGAAAUCUGCUCUGCCGCGGGAUCUUGGGCAUAGCAGUGAUCAGUGAAGAAGAAAGCCCAGGUGUGGGAAAACUGCUCCUCCAACCAAGAAUGUAACACACAGGCAAGUCACAUCUAAGUUAGUGGAAGGUCAGCCGCACCAGUCCUCACAUAAGAGAAUACUCAAGAGAAGAGGAAAUUCAGAUCCCAAGGGUUAAACUCCAAAGGUGGACACUUGCUUGCAUUUACUGACAAGCUGACCAUGAAUUCCAGGAUUCACAGGAGAAAGUUCCUUUUCAUCUUAGUAGCAGGAGUCGUUUGAAGGAAGGGCAUGAAUUGGGUGGACUGAUCAGAUUUUUCUCUUCUUGGAUGUUUAGAAAGUCUGGAACCAAUUUUGUGAUCCAUCCUUAGUAAGUUUAUUUCAUAGAAUGUAUUUUUCUACUUGCCUAAUUCAUCGCUCCAUUUUAUGUCACUGUCAUUAAUAUAUUUGAGUUACUUUGCUAUAUUUUGUGUGUGUAUAUGUAUUUGCCUUUUUGUAUGUAAUUUCUUUUUCUUUUUGAAAUAAGUUCAGAAAUAAAUAAGUACUUGGGAUAUAGGGCUAUGGUGAGAGUUCAAGGCCAAGUGUUGGGGAAUGGACACCCCAAACCCACAAUGUCCUAGUUUACGCUUGGUUCCCCUGUUCCCACCUGCUUGAUUU